rnacentral:rRNA from 1 species
AACGAACGCUGGCGGCAGGCUUAACACAUGCAAGUCGAGCGCCCCGCAAGGGGAGCGGCAGACGGGUGAGUAACGCGUGGGAAUCUACCCAUCUCUACGGAAUAACGCAUGGAAACGUGUGCUAAUACCGUAUACGUCCUUCGGGAGAAAGAUUUAUCGGAGAUGGAUGAGCCCGCGUUGGAUUAGCUAGUUGGUGGGGUAAAGGCCUACCAAGGCGACGAUCCAUAGCUGGUCUGAGAGGAUGAUAAGCCACACUGGGACUGAGACACGGCCCAGACUCCUACGGGAGGCAGCAGUGGGGAAUAUUGGACAAUGGGCGCAAGCCUGAUCCAGCCGUGCCGCGUGAGUGAUGAAGGCCCUAGGGUUGUAAAGCUCUUUCACCGGUGAAGAUAAUGACGGUAACCGGAGAAGAAGCCCCGGCUAACUUCGUGCCAGCCGCCGCGGUAAUAC